GACGAACGCUGGCGGCGUGCCUAAUACAUGCAAGUCGAGCGAAGUUUUUCUGGUGCUUGCACUAGAAAAACUUAGCGGCGAACGGGUGAGUAACACGUAAAGAACCUGCCUCAUAGACUGGGACAACUAUUGGAAACGAUAGCUAAUACCGGAUAACAGUAUUUCUCGCAUGAGAGAUAUUUAAAAGUUGGUUAUGCUAACACUAUGAGAUGGCUUUGCGGUGCAUUAGCUAGUUGGUGGGGUAAAGGCCCACCAAGGCGACGAUGCAUAGCCGACCUGAGAGGGUGAUCGGCCACACUGGGACUGAGACACGGCUCAGACUCCUACGGGAGGCAGCAGUAGGGAAUCUUCCGCAAUGGGCGAAAGCCUGACGGAGCAACGCCGCGUGAGUGAAGAAGGAUUUCGGUUCGUAAAGCUCUGUUGUUAGGGAAGAAUGGAUAUGUAGUAACUAUACAUGUAAGAGACGGUACCUAACCAGAAAGCCACGGCUAACUACGU
rnacentral:rRNA from 1 species